GACCUGAUGGUGGAGUGGUUACCACGCCUGCUUUGAAUUUUGAAUAUACAGAGAAGAAUUUGGCAGGAGGUACCCUGUUCGAUUCGGGGUCAGGUCA